UGAUAAUUCCCACAUCUGAAUCAUCUCAAGUUAUUUUUGGUAGAUUUUGAUGGAUGUACAUUGAUGGAUAGCCACAUGGAUCCAGAAAAUAAAGACUUCUACUGUGCAUAUUGACUAAAGCAAAAGAUAUGCAAGGAAGCUCAGUCUCUCAGUUGAGUGGAUUCUGAAAUUUAUCCUGUUGUCUUCAGCUACUAAGGCUAAUUUGCAAAUCACACUGUGCACGGGGUGAAAUAGGAGCACUUGGGAAGCACUGCAAUGAAUUUACUGCUUAUUCAGCAUAUUGAUAGAGUCUUCUCUAAAACAACAAAAAGUGUUGACAGCAAAUUGAAGAUCUUAAAGAAUGUGUGUGUCCCACCCCUGCAGUACUUCAGCAUUCUGAGGUAAAAAGACAAUUGGCUUACUGCAUCUUAGAAAGGUUUAUUGAUUUUGUUAUUGCUACAACUAUCAUGGGAGCAGAGGCAGCAAUUUCUCAAGCCUAGUUCCAAAAGGAUUAAACCUGACCAAGAUUUAU
rnacentral:lncRNA from 1 species